rnacentral:sRNA from 1 species
GCGCGGGCCGACCGGGCGCACCGACCAUGGCCUCCAAAUGCCCCAAGUGCGACAAGACCGUGUACUUCGCCGAGAAGGUGAGCUCCCUGGGGAAGGACUGGCACAAGUUCUGCCUCAAGUGCGAGCGCUGCAGCAAGACGCUGACGCCCGGGGGCCACGCCGAGCAUGACGGGAAGCCGUUCUGCCACAAGCCGUGCUACGCCACCCUGUUCGGACCCAAAGGUGAGCUCCGGGUGCCCUUGGCCUGCCCUGGGACCUGCUGGGAGGGGCGUGGCGCUGGCGCUGGGGAGGGCUGGGGGUCCCGGCCGCCGUGGAUCCCCGCCCAGAGUCCCUGCCACCCUGGAAAGCCUAGUGCCCCCAGCCCCCAGCGGGCCGUUUUCUGAGACGCCCGGUGGCCGCGGCCCCCACCCCACGUACCCCCACCCGCAGGCGUGAACAUCGGGGGCGCGGGCUCCUACAUCUACGAGAAGCCCCUGGCGGAGGGGCCGCAGGUCACCGGCCCCAUCGAGGUCCCCGCGGCCCGAGCAGAGGAGCGGAAGGCGAGCGGCCCCCCGAAGGGGCCCAGCAGAGCCUCCAGUGUCACCACUUUCACCGGGGAGCCCAACACGUGCCCGCGCUGCAGCAAGAAGGUGUACUUCGGUGAGUGCGCGCCCGGGCCCCGGACCCCCGCCCCCGCCCCUGCCCCGGGGCUCGGCCUCACUCCUCCCCCUUUCCAGCUGAGAAGGUGACGUCUCUGGGCAAGGAUUGGCACCGGCCCUGCCUGCGCUGCGAGCGCUGCGGGAAGACACUGACCCCCGGCGGGCACGCGGAGCACGACGGCCAGCCCUACUGCCACAAGCCCUGCUAUGGAAUCCUCUUCGGACCCAAGGGAGUGAACACCGGCGCGGUGGGCAGCUACAUCUAUGACCGGGACCCCGAAGGCAAGGUCCAGCCCUAGGCUACAGCGGCUCUCGUGAUGUGGGCUCACCUGCGCCCCAGACCCUGCAGGGGCUCCCCUGCUUGGCUCUGCUGGGAGAGUGCUCAGCCGCCUAGUCCUGCCUGCAAGCCCAGGGCGAGUAUUGGAGGAGGGGCAGCCACGGGCAGAGCGCCAUGCCCAUCCCCGAGUCUCUGGUGUGUCUGCCCCCUCUGGCAUCCUCUGGGCGUCCCAUGAUCCCUUCUGUGUCUGCGUGUCCGAAUCCCCGUGUGACCCUGUCCCAGCAUUUUCCCGCCGACCCUGCGUGUCCCCGUGGCGCUGUCCGCUCUCCCUCUCCUGCUGCCCACCCACCUGCCAGUGUUAUUUAUGCUCCCUUCGUGGGUGAUGGCCACGCCCUCACCAUGUCCCUGGCAGAGGGCUUUCCUCCGGGAUCCCCUGCCUGGUGCCCACACUGCCUCGCAAGCGCUCGCCACCCUCACGUGGCUCACCUGCUGUUGAGCCUUGUGCUGUCAAUAAACGGUUUGAGGAUUG